rnacentral:rRNA from 1 species
UAAAGCGUGCGCAGGCGGUUAUGUAAGACAGAUGUGAAAUCCCCGGGCUCAACCUGGGAACUGCAUUAGUGACUGCAUAGCUGGAGUACGGCAGAGGGGGAUGGAAUUCCGCGUGUAGCAGUGAAAUGCGUAGAUAUGCGGAGGAACACCGAUGGCGAAGGCAAUCCCCUGGGCCUGUACUGACGCUCAUGCACGAAAGCGUGGGGAGCAAACAGGAUUAGAUACCCGGU